CAACCCUCAAGCCUAGCUUGGUGAUGGGCCUUCGUCCCCUGGACGGGCCUGAAAAUUAGUGGCAAUACUCUCCAGCUUCAAGCAUAGUAAAUUUGUCUUGUCUUGACGGUUGGUUGAUGUUUUGGCCAAGUGAAUUCACUUUUAUUUU
rnacentral:misc_RNA from 1 species